UACGGAGGGUGUAAGCGUUGUUCGGAAUUAUUGGGCGUAAAGCGCACGUAGGCGGGUUUAUCAGUCGAUUGUGAAAUCCCCGGGCUUAACCCGGGACUUGCAGUCGAUACUGUAAAUCUUGAAUGUUUGAGAGGAUGGCGGAAUUCCUGGUGUAGAAGUGAAAUUCGUAGAUAUCAGGAGGAACACCCGAGGCGAAGGCGGCCGUCUGGCAAUACAUUGACGCUGAGGUGCGAAAGCGUGGGGAGCAAACAGG
rnacentral:rRNA from 1 species